GGGACUGUAAACUAGUUCAACAACUUCUGUCAACACUGACCAAGGGAAAAAAAAAAAAAGGCUACUCAGGAGGCUAGGGUGGGAGGAUUCCUUGAGCCUGGGAGGCGGAGGUUGCAGUAAGCUGAGAUCAUGCCAUUGCUCUCCAGCCUGGGUGACAGGUGAAACCCUGUCUCAAAAAACAAAAAAAUUAUGAAUUAGUUGGGAAAGCCAUGACUGCUCUUCAUUCUGCUCCCCAUGCAUAAGGAAUCUACAUUUUGGGAUCCCUUACAAUACUCCUCUUCUGAUACCAAUUUGUUUAUUAGUCUCUUUUUAGCAACUGACGAAACUCCAACCCAAACUAGCUUCAGCGAGGGUGUCCAUCACAUCCACGUGUGCAGGAUGGGAAUUUCUUGCCAUGUGCCUUUCUGCGUGGGCGGGGGGAAAUGCUGCAACAGGACUGGCUAAGUGUUGAAAUUGUUUAAAUGGGAUAAUACGUAAAUUGGGGGUAAGAGGGUGGGGUCAUUCCUUUUGCCUGUCUGGUCAACUUACGCCCCCUACCCACCUAAACGUACUGGGUACCUUUCCACAUCUAAGUAUCUGCGUCAAACUUCUUGAGCAUUUAUGGGGCUUUAAAACAAACUUCUUGAGCACUUACUGUGUCAGUGCUAAGCACCUUAUUUAUAUGUGUCAUCUCUUUUACUCCUCACAAAAUGCUGAGUCUUUUUUUUUUUUAAUAUAGACAAGGUCUCACUAUGCUGCCCAUCCUGAGCUCAAGCGAUCCUCCUGUCUCAGCCUCCCAAAGUGCUAGGAUUACAGGCCUGAGCUACUGUACCCGGUUGCUGAGUCACUUUUUAAGAAACUUUUCAUUUUGAAGUUUUAGACUUACAGAAAAGUUGGAAAAAUAGUACAGAGUUCUGUGUACCAUUCCCCUAAUGUUAACAUCUUACACAAAU
rnacentral:lncRNA from 10 species